rnacentral:rRNA from 1 species
CAAUAGCGUAUAUUAAAGUUGUUGCGGUUAAAAGCUCGUAAGUUGGAUUUCUGUUGAGGACGACCGGUCCGCCCUCUGGGUGAGUAUCUGGCUCGGCCUUGGCAUCUUCUUGGAGAACGUAACUGCACUUGACUGUGUGGUGCGGUAUCCAGGACUUUUACUUUGAGGAAAUUUAGAGUGUUUCAAGCAAGCGCACGGCUUUGAAUACAUUAGCAUGGAAUAAUAAGAUAGGACCUCGGUUCUAUUUUGUUGGUUUCUAGAGCUGAGGUAAUGAUUGAUAGGGAUAGUUGGGGGCAUUCGUAUUUAACUGUCAGAGGUGAAAUUCUUGGAUUUGUUAAAGACGGACUACUGUCGAAAGUCAUUUGCCAAGGAUGUUUUCAUUGAUCAAGAACGAAA